rnacentral:rRNA from 1 species
UACGUAGGUGGCAAGCGUUGUCCGGAAUUAUUGGGCGUAAAGCGCGCGCAGGCGGUCCUUUAAGUCUGAUGUGAAAGCCCACGGCUCAACCGUGGAGGGUCAUUGGAAACUGGGGGACUUGAGUGCAGAAGAGGAAAGCGGAAUUCCACGUGUAGCGGUGAAAUGCGUAGAGAUGUGGAGGAACACCAGUGGCGAAGGCGGCUUUCUGGUCUGUAACUGACGCUGAGGCGCGAAAGCGUGGGAGCAAACAGG